UGCCAAAUGUAGAUAUUAACAGCAUCUCAAGUGAGAGCCCAGAGCCGUCGCCACCUCCUGACUGCACAGUGAUUCAGGUGUCAGAAAAGAAUGAGUUUCCUGAAUCAGUUAUUGAGUUAAACGGCUGUGCAGGGUCCAUCUUUGCUCCAUACCACAGACCUGCUUUCCCACCCACUGUUCCACCCCCCCCUUUCCACUGUGGACAUUACUGAAGAAAGGAUAAGAGAACAAGAAACUCUGGAAAAGAGGCUGGUUGAAUGGGUGGAGCAGGAGCUUCUGUCCCGAGUGAUCAAUGAGAUGUAUUCGCUCCAUCUCCAACCUCGUCAGGACAUCUGUGUGUCAGACAACGAGGACAGCAUCUCUUCAACAUCUGAUAUAGUUGAAGCAGCAGGUGGAGGAGACUUGCAGCUGUUUGUUGACACAGGGCUGCCAGUUGACUCCGAUCUGAUUCGGCAGUAUGUCAA